CCUACGGGAGGCAGCAGUGGGGAAUAUUGCGCAAUGGGGGAAACCCUGAUGCAGCAACGCCGCGUGAAGGAAGAAGGUUUUCGGGUUGUAAACUUCUUUUGUCAGGGAAGAAAAUGACGGUAGCUAACGAAUAAGCACCGGCUAACUCCGUGCCAGCAGCCGCGGUAAUACGGAGGGGGCAAGCGUUAUUCGGAAUCACUGGGUGUAAAGAGCGCGUAGGCGGGAUAGCAAGUCAGAUGUGAAAUCCCAUGGCUGAACCCCAGAACUGCAUUUGAAACUGUGUUUCUUGAGUACGGGAGAGGCAGGCGGAAUUCCUGGUGUAGCGGUGAAAUGCGUAGAGAUCAGGAGGAAAACCAGUGGCGAAGGCGGCCUGCUGGACCGUAACUGACGCUGAGGCGCGAAAGCGUGGGGAGCAAACAGGAUUAGAUACCCCAGUAGUC
rnacentral:rRNA from 1 species